rnacentral:rRNA from 1 species
AACGAACGCUGGCGGCAUGCCUAACACAUGCAAGUCGAACGAGACCUUCGGGUCUAGUGGCGCACGGGUGCGUAACGCGUGGGAACCUGCCCUUAGGUUCGGAAUAACUCCCCGAAAGGGGUGCUAAUACCGGAUAAUGUCUUCGGACCAAAGAUUUAUCGCCUUUGGAUGGGCCCGCGUUGGAUUAGCUAGUUGGUAGGGUAAAAGCCUACCAAGGCGACGAUCCAUAGCUGGUCUGAGAGGAUGAUCAGCCACACUGGGACUGAGACACGGCCCAGACUCGUAGGGGAGGCAGCAGUGGGGAAUAUUGGACAAUGGGCGAAAGCCUGAUACAGCAAUGCCGCGUGAGUGAUGAAGGCCUUAGGGUUGUAAAGCUCUUUUACCCGGGAUGAUAAUGACAGUACCGGGAGAAUAAGCUCCGGCUAACUCCGUG